rnacentral:rRNA from 1 species
CAGCAGCCGCGGUAAUACGGAGGGAGCUAGCGUUGUUCGGAAUUACUGGGCGUAAAGCGCACGUAGGCGGCUCAGCAAGUCAGGGGUGAAAUCCCGGGGCUCAACCCCGGAACUGCCCUUGGAACUGCUAGGCUAGAAUCUUGGAGAGGCGAGUGGAAUUCCGAGUGUAGAGGUGAAAUUCGUAGAUAUUCGGAAGAACACCAGUGGCGAAGGCGACUCGCUGGACAAGUAUUGACGCUGAGGUGCGAAAGCGUGGGGAGCAAACAGGAUUAGAUACCCGCGUAGUCCCGUCUCUUAUACA